rnacentral:rRNA from 1 species
UACGUAGGGUGCGAGCGUUGUUCGGAAUUACUGGGCGUAAAGGGUUCGUAGGCGGCUUGUCGCGUCGGGAGUGAAAACCUCGGGCUUAACUCGGGGCUUGCUUUCGAUACGGGCAGACUAGAGGUAUGCAGGGGAGAACGGAAUUCCUGGUGUAGCGGUGAAAUGCGCAGAUAUCAGGAGGAACACCGGUGGCGAAGGCGGUUCUCUGGGCAUGAUCUGACGCUGAGGAGCGAAAGUGUGGGGAGCGAACAGG